GUGGCUUCCGGAGCUAACGCGUUAAGUAGACCGCCUGGGGAGUACGGCCGCAAGGUUAAAACUCAAAUGAAUUGACGGGGGCCCGCACAAGCGGUGGAGCAUGUGGUUUAAUUCGAUGCAACGCGAAGAACCUUACCUGGUCUUGACAUCCACGGAAGUUUUCAGAGAUGAGAAUGUGCCUUCGGGAACCGUGAGACAGGUGCUGCAUGGCUGUCGUCAGCUCGUGUUGUGAAAUGUUGGGUUAAGUCCCGCAACGAGCGCAACCCUUAUCCUUUGUUGCCAGCGGUUAGGCCGGGAACUCAAAGGAGACUGCCAGUGAUAAACUGGAGGAAGGUGGGGAUGACGUCAAGUCAUCAUGGCCCUUACGACCAGGGCUACACACGUGCUACAAUGGCGCAUACAAAGAGAAGCGACCUCGCGAGAGCAAGCGGACCUCAUAAAGUGCGUCGUAGUCCGGAUUGGAGUCUGCAACUCGACUCCAUGAAGUCGGAAUCGCUAGUAAUCGUGGAUCAGAAUGCCACGGUGAAUACGUUCCCGGGCCUUGUACACACCGCCCGUCACACCAUGGGAGUGGGUUGCAAAAGAAGUAGGUAGCUUAACCUUCGGGAGGGCGCUUACCACUUUGUGAUUCAUGACUGGGGUGAAGUCGUAACAAGGUAACCGUAGGGGAACCUGCGGUUGGAUCACCUCCUUACCUUAAAGAA
rnacentral:rRNA from 1 species